UACGAAGGGUGCAAGCGUUACUCGGAAUUACUGGGCGUAAAGCGUGCGUAGGUGGUUUGUUAAGUCUGAUGUGAAAGCCCUGGGCUCAACCUGGGAAUUGCAUUGGAUACUGGCAGGCUAGAGUGCGGUAGAGGAUGGCGGAAUUCCCGGUGUAGCAGUGAAAUGCGUAGAGAUCGGGAGGAACAUCCGUGGCGAAGGCGGCCAUCUGGACCAGCACUGACGCUGAGGCACGAAAGCGUGGGGAGCAAACAGG
rnacentral:rRNA from 1 species